GCGAACGCUGGCGGCAGGCCUAAUACAUGCAAGUCGAGCGGUCCCUUCGGGCGCAGCGGCGGACGGGUGAGUAACGCGUGGGAACGUGCCCUUUGGUACGGAACAACUGAGGGAAACUUCAGCUAAUACCGUAUGUGCCCUUCGGGGGAAAGAUUUAUCGCCAUUGGAGCGGCCCGCGUUAGAUUAGCUAGUUGGUAGGGUAAAGGCCUAUCAAGGCGACGAUCUAUAGCUGGUCUGAGAGGAUGAUCAGCCACACUGGGACUGAGACACGGCCCAGACUCCUACGGGAGGCAGCAGUAGGGAAUCUUGCGCAAUGGGCGAAAGCCUGACGCAGCCAUGCCGCGUGAAUGAUGAAGGUCUUAGGAUUGUAAAAUUCUUUCACCGGGGACGAUAAUGACGGUACCCGGAGAAGAAGCCCCGGCUAACUUCGUGCCAGCCGCCGCGGUAAUAC
rnacentral:rRNA from 1 species